rnacentral:lncRNA from 1 species
GUUGACAAGUUACGCUCUGAAAACACUGUUAUAAUGGAGCAAAUUAUGCAGACUAUGGCUGAAAUACGAUCAAGAGACUUACCUGUGAAAGGUAAGGCUAGAACAAUUCCAAGCAACACACGUACAAGGCAUUUUACCAUCUCUGACUCCUGAAUCCACAAAGAUGGCGCCGAUGUAGGAACGGCGUUCAGUGUUCUAUGGGGCGUCUAUGUGUUUAUGUCUGUGAGUGAAGCUGCUGACUGCAGGACAUUUCUGAACAGGCAUCUAAACUCAAGCCUAAAGAAUCAUUGCGUGACAUAAUAUAUAUGUGAAUGUUGCUGCUGUUGGGUUUACGUGUGGAGGAGUGUAAGGACUGGAAGGCGGGCUCCACCAACAAGAGACAGACGAACACAUCCGAGGUAAGUGCAAAAUCCCAAGUGAUUUUAUUUUAGUUCACAGCACGCAGAAAAAAUGUUAAAGGAAAAACUGUACAAAAAAUGAAAAGAAAGGAGUUUUAAAAGUAAUGAGGGCUACCUGACUUCACAUCAGCCAGUAAAGGGUCACAGCUGGCCUGCUGCACAAAAACCCUACCUCCCUCUAACAACGCCAUUUCCAAAUACAAAAAGGAGCCCCAAGUUUAGGCACGCCUCCCCUUUUAAGGUUGUAGCCCCACCCACCGAACAAUUGGCUAGGGGUGACUAAAACAUAUAUAUAAACAUACAGAAACAACACUUAUUUAUACACACUACUGAUAUCACUUAUUUACAGACAUGUCUCAUCCCCAAAAUAAUCCACUUUACAGGUAAGUAUUUACACAACAUAUUAUUAAUAACAUUUCCCUUUUUCCCCCACAGGUUUUACGGAGCAGCAGUCUCACCCCCCUCCCCACUAGUAACCGAGGGCCCUUUGAUCACCCAUGAGAGAGCUGGCAGACCACGAGUCCCCUAAGGAAAGUUAUCAGAUUAAUUGCAUCUGUGCACAGAGGAUUGUUGGAGUCAGCCUCCCCUGCACCAGGAAGGAUCCCACCCACCCAGCACACGCCCUUUUUGUCCCACUCCCCUCAUGCAGGAGGCUGCGGAGCAUCAACUGCAAAACAACCAGACUUAGAACCAACUUCAUUCCGGAAGCUGUAAGACUCUUAAACUCCACACUGCACUGACACUUUACAAGGACAAUUAGUGUUUACAAAAAUACUGUCACUUUAAACCGUACUGACACAUUUUAUCUUGUACUGCUCUUAAUCCACAUUAUCAUGCUGCUAUAGCACACUUGCACUCUGGACUCAUGUUGUUGCUACCUGCCUACUCUCCCUUUUUUAUGUAUUUAUCUUUUCUAUUUUGUUCUAUUCUCUUUUUAUUGAGUUCUUUAUUUUAUCUAUUUUCUCUAUAUUACCUAUUUUAAAAACAGCUCUUGGGUGUAAAUAGGAUCGUGAGAUCACAAUUUUGUUCCACCUCAUGUACCACAUGUCAUGCGAACGACAAUAAAAUCUCCUUGAAUCCUUGAACA